AUAUUGCACAAUGGGGGAAACCCUGAUGCAGCCAUGCCGCGUGUGUGAAGAAGGCCUUCGGGUUGUAAAGCACUUUCAGCGAGGAGGAAAGGUUACUGGCUAAUAUCCAGUAGCUGUGACGUUACUCGCAGAAGAAGUACCGGCUAACUCCGUGCCAGCAGCCGCGGUAAUACGGAGGGUCCGAGCGUUAAGCGGAAUUACUGGGCGUAAAGCGUGCGCAGGCGGUUUGUUAAGCGAGAUGUGAAAGCCCCGGGCUCAACCUGGGAACCGCAUUUCGAACUGGCGAACUAGAGUCUUGUAGAGGGGGGUAGAAUUCCAGGUGUAGCGGUGAAAUGCGUAGAGAUCUGGAGGAAUACCAGUGGCGAAGGCGGCCCCCUGGACAAAGACUGACGCUCAUGCACGAAAGCGUGGGGAGCAAACAGG
rnacentral:rRNA from 1 species